ACCAUUUGAAUUUUACUCUUCAACUUUCUCUGGCUCCUCAGAUGCAGGGGCAGAUUCCUCUGUUUUCUCUGCUUCGGGUUCUGCAACUGGGGCUGCUUCGGGUUCAGCUACGGGUGCUGGAGCCUCCUCAACGGGUGCUGCAGCAACCGGUUCCUCAGCUGCGGCUGCAGGUUCUUCUGCAGCCACAGGUUCUUCAACUGGAGCUGCAACAGGUUCUGCAGCCGCAGGCUCUUCAGCUACAGGGGCUGCUACUUCCUCCGCAGCAGGAGCAGCCUCUUCUGGUGCUGGUGCUGAUUCGACCUCAACAUCCUUUUCUACAGCGGGGGCUGGUUCCUCCGCC
rnacentral:lncRNA from 1 species